AGAUUAAGCUAAUAAGGGCUUACGGUGGAUACCUAGGUACCUGGAGCCGAAGACGGACGUGCCAAGCUGCGAAAAGCCGCGAGUAGCUGCUAAGAAGCGUAGAUACGCGGAUAUCCUAAUGGGGAAACCCGGCGGUCGAGAGGGCCGUCAUCAUAUAGUGAAAGAAGUAGCUAUAUGAGGGGAACCGGGGGAAGUGAAACAUCUAAGUACCCCGAGGAAAAGAAAUCAAAAGAGAUUCCCUAAGUAGCGGCGAGCGAAAGGGGAAGAGCCUAAACACAUUUAAUGUAAGGCUACAGCCGUUGUUAAAUGUGGGUUUAGGAUAAUCAUGAGUGAGACUGUAGAGUCACAAAGGCAGUUGAAUCUUUAGCCGAAUGACCUGGGAAGGUCAGCCAGAGAGAGUAAAAGCCUCGUAGGUGAAAAGGAGAGACACCUUAGAUUAUCCAGAGUACCACGGGACACGAGGAACCCUGUGGGAAGAAGGGAAGACCAUUUUCCAAGGCUAAAUACUACCAGGUAACCGAUAGUGAACAAGUACCGUGAGGGAAAGGUGAAAAGAACCCCGUGAGGGGAGUGAAAUAGAAUAUGAAACCGUAAGCUUACAAGCAGUGGGAGGACUAUUAGAAAGUCUGACCGCGUACUUUUUGUAGAACGGACCGGCGAGUUAUUCUUAAGUAGCGUAAGGUUAAGCCAGAAAGGUGAAGCCGCAGCGAAAGCGAGUCUGAAUAGGGCGUAAGUUACAAGGAAUAGACCCGAAGCCAGGUGAUCUACCCAUGACCAGGGUGAAGCGGGAGUGAGAACCCGUGGAGGCCCGAACCAGGUGAUGUUGAAAAAUCAUUGGAUGAGUUGUGGGUAGGGGUGAAAGGCCAAUCGAACCUGGAGAUAGCUGGUUCUCCUCGAAAUAGCUUUAGGGCUAGCCUCAAGGAAUAAAACUAGGCGGUAGAGCACUGAUUGGACUAGGGGCCCAACAAGGUUACCGAAUCCAUUCAAACUCCGAACACUUAAGUUUAUAAGCCUUGGGAGUCAGACUACGUGGGAUAAGCUUCGUAGUCGAAAGGGAAACAGCCCAGACCACCAGUUAAGGUCCCAAAGUACAGACUAAGUGGGAAAGGAAGUGAGGUCGCAAAGACAACCAGGAUGUUGGCUUAGAAGCAGCCAUACAUUUAAAGAGUGCGUAAUAGCUCACUGGUCGAGCGUCCUUGCGCCGAAAAUGUAACGGGGCUAAAGUCUGUCACCGAAACUGUGGAUGUGUAAAUUGUUCACGAAGUCUAUUGUUAACUAAAGAUAGAGAUAUAGAGUUACAUUUAGUCAAAAGUAACAAAAAGAAUUUCAAAACGAGACUUUUGACCAAAUGACUCCAGGCUAAAGUCUGUCUAUCAAAGCAGUAGAUUGCGUGAACAGUUUACACAUGGUAGAGGAGCAUUGUAUACUGGAAGAAGCUGUACCGGAAGGAGCAGUGGACGGUAUACAAGAGAGAAUGCCGGUAUGAGUAGCGAAAAGAGGGGUGAGAAUCCCCUCCGCCGAAAGUCUAAGGUUUCCUGAGGAAGGCUCGUCCGCUCAGGGUAAGCCGGGACCUAAGCCGAGGCCGAAAGGCGUAGGUGAUGGAUAAUUGGUAGAGAUUCCAAUGCCGCUAUUAAUCGUUUGAAUGAAGUGGGGACACGGCAAGAAAGACAAAGCACACGACUGGAGGUGUGUGCAGAAGCCCAAGGUAGGAAUAAAGAGGGAAAACCCUUUAUUCUAAACUAUCGAAGGUGAUCUGGACCCGAGAGAGGGGAAGUUGUCAAACAAGCUGUCAAGAAAAGCCACUAGUGAGAUUAAUAGUGCCCGUACCGCAAACCGACACAGGUAGACGGGAUGAGAAUUCUAAGGCGCGCGAGAGAACCCUUGUUAAGGAACUCGGCAAAAUGACCCCGUAACUUAGGGAGAAGGGGUACCACGAAAGUGGGCACAGCAAAGAGGCCCAAGCGACUGUUUAGCAAAAACACAGGUCUCUGCUAAGUCGUAAGACGAAGUAUAGGGGCUGACGCCUGCCCGGUGCUGGAAGGUCAAGGGGAAGUGUUAGGUGAAAACCAAAGCAUAGAACCUAAGCCCCAGUAAACGGCGGCCGUAACUAUAACGGUCCUAAGGUAGCGAAAUUCCUUGUCGGGUAAGUUCCGACCUGCACGAAUGGCGUAACGACUUGGGCACUGUCUCAACAAGGGACUCGGCGAAAUUGUAGUACCAGUAAAGAUGCUGGUUACCUGCGACAGGACGGAAAGACCCCGUGGAGCUUUACUGUAGCCUGAUAUUGGGUUUUGCUAAAGGAUGUACAGGAUAGGUGGGAGGCUAAGAGAUUGGUACGCUAGUAUCAAUGGAGCCGCAAGUGGGAUACCACCCUUUCUUUAGCGGAAUUCUAACCAGAGGCCAUAAACUGGUCAUGGGACAUUGUCAGGUGGGCAGUUUGACUGGGGCGGUCGCCUCCCAAAAAGUAACGGAGGCGCCCAAAGGUUCCCUCAGUGCGGAUGGAAAUCGCACGAAGAGUGUAAAGGCAGAAGGGAGCUUAACUGUGAGACCAACAAGUCAAACAGGUACGAAAGUAGGGCUUAGUGAUCCGGCGGUAUUGAAUGGAAGAGCCGUCGCUCAACGGAUAAAAGUUACCCCGGGGAUAACAGGCUUAUCUCCCCCAAGAGUUCACAUCGACGGGGAGGUUUGGCACCUCGAUGUCGGCUCGUCGCAUCCUGGAGCUGUAGCAGGUUCCAAGGGUUGGGCUGUUCGCCCAUUAAAGCGGUACGCGAGCUGGGUUCAGAACGUCGUGAGACAGUUCGGUCCCUAUCCGUCGCAGGCGAAGGAUACUUGAGAGGAGCUAUCCCUAGUACGAGAGGACCGGGAUGGACACACCGAUGGUGUAUCAGUUGUUCCGCCAGGAGCAUAGCUGAGUAGCUAAGUGUGGAAUGGAUAAACGCUGAAAGCAUCUAAGCGUGAAACCAGCCUCAAGAUUAGGUAUCCCACUCGCAAGAGGUAAGCCCCCUGGUAGAUGACCAGGUUGAUAGGUUGGAGGUGGAAGUGUGGUAACACAUUAAGCUGACCAAUACUAAUAGGGCGAGGGCUUAAUCUU
rnacentral:rRNA from 1 species